GUGGGUUUUAAGGAUUUUGAGUUGUUUAACUUAUCAAUGCUAGCGAGGCAGGCUUGGCAUCUGUUACAAAAACCACAAAGUAUGUGUGCGCGGAUGUUGAGAGGCAUAUAUUACCCGAAUGGCAAUAUCCUGAGUGCUCAACUAGGCAGCUCCCCAAGUCAGAUCUGGAGAGCAAUAAUCGAAGGCCGUGAUAUUUUGCAGCAAGGAUUGAUACGCCGAAUUGGGAAUGGAGAGAGUAUAAAAAUCUGGGAUGAUAACUGGUUACCUAGAAUGGAGAUGAAGAGACCAUAUGGAUGCUUGAGUAACAAUCCACCUACAUAUGUCUCUGAAUUGAUUGAUAUGACAUCGGCUGUCUGGGACAAACAGAAGAUCCAAGCGACCUUUCUCAACAUGGACGCGAAAAUAUCCUGGGUAUCCCUAUCUGUACAAUGA
rnacentral:rRNA from 1 species